rnacentral:lncRNA from 1 species
AGCAGAGGGGGAUUUGCAGAUCAAUGUGGAAGAGGAGGAAGCCUUCGUGCUGCCUCCUGCUGGACAGACGGACCAGGAUGCCCAGACUCCAGACCUGCAGCGAGUUCACAAGCGCAUCCAGGAUAUAGUAGGAGUGCUUCGGGAUUUUGGGGCUCAGCGAGAGGAAGGCCGGUCUCGAACUGAGUAUCUGAGUCAGCUUCAGAAGGAUCUGGCCACCUACUAUUCUUAUGGAGACUUCCUGUUGAGCAAGCUCAUGGAGCUGUUCCCGCUGUCUGAGUUGAUAGAGUUCUUAGAAGCUAAUGAGGUGCCCCGGCCAAUCACCCUUCGGACCAACACCUUGAAAACCCGUCGCCGAGACCUUGCUCAGGUGAGGAGGGGUCAGUGUCCUUUAAUUCAGAUCUGGGU